rnacentral:rRNA from 1 species
CUGGUUGAUCCUGCCAGUAGUCAUAUGCUUGUCUCAAAGAUUAAGCCAUGCAUGUCUAAGUUCAAGCAAAAAUAAUGUGAAACCGCGAAUGGCUCAUUAUAUCAGUUAUGGUUCCUUAGAUCGCACUUACUACUUGGAUAACUCUGGCAAUUCUAGAGCUAAUACAUGCAAUAAAGCUCCGCCCUGCGAAGGAACGAGCGCAUUUAUUAGAAUAAAAACCAAUCGGGUUUCGGCCCGUAAUUUGGUGAAUCUGAAUAACUUUGCCAAUCGCACGGUCCUAGUACCGGCGAUAUAUCUUUCAAGUGUCUGCCUUAUCAACUUUCGUUGGUAGGUUAUACGCCUACCAAGGUAGUAACGGGUAACGGAGAAUAAGGGUUCGACUCCGGAGAGGGAGCCUGAGAAACGGCUACCACAUCCAAGGAAGGCAGCAGGCGCGCAAAUUACCCACUUCCAGAACGGAGAGGUAGUGACGAAAAAUAACGAGACAGUCCUCUUCGAGGUCUGUCAUCGGAAUGGGUACAAUUUAAAUCCUUUAACGAGGAUCUAUUGGAGGGCAAGUCUGGU